AAUCCGGUUGAUCCUGCCGGACCUAACUGCUAUCGGGCUGGGACUAAGCCAUGCGAGUCGCGCGCCCCGAGCCACGCCGGGGAGCGGCGAACGGCUCAGUAACACGUAGUCAACCUACCCUCAGGACGGGGACAACCUCGGGAAACUGAGGCUAAUCCCCGAUAGGCGGCGACGCCUGGAAUGGUUCGCCGCCCAAACGGACCACAGGCAUGCCUGUGGCUCCGCCUGAGGAUGGGACUGCGGCCGAUUAGGUUGUUGGUGGGGUAACGGCCCACCAAGCCUACGAUCGGUACGGGCCAUGAGAGUGGGAGCCCGGAGAUGGGGACUGAGACAAGGCCCCAGGCCCUACGGGGCGCAGCAGGCGCGAAACCUCCGCAAUGCGCGGAAGCGUGACGGGGCCAGCCCGAGUGCCGGCGGCAGCCGGCUUUUCACCGGUGUAAGAAGCCGGUGGAAUAAGGGGAGGGCAAGGCUGGUGCCAGCCGCCGCGGUAAAACCAGCUCCCCGAGUGGUUAGGACGCUUACUGGGCCUAAAGCGUCCGUAGCCGGCCCCGCAAGUCUCCGGUCAAACCCGGCGGCUCAACCGUCGGACCGCCGGAGAUACUGCGGGGCUUGGGGGCGGGAGAGGCCGAGGGUACUCCCAGGGUAGGGGUGAAAUCCGAUAAUCCUGGGAGGACGACCAGUGGCGAAGGCGCUCGGCUGGAACGCGCCCGACGGUGAGGGACGAAAGCCAGGGGAGCGAACCGGAUUAGAUACCCGGGUAGUCCUGGCCGUAAACGAUGCCGGGUAGGUGUUAGGGCGGCUACGAGCCGUCCUAGUGCCGAAGGGAAGCCGUUAACCCGGCCGCCUGGGGAGUACGGCCGCAAGGCUGAAACUUAAAGGAAUUGACGGGGGAGCACCACAAGGGGUGGAGCCUGCGGUUUAAUUGGACUCAACGCCGGGCAACUUACCGGGCGCGACAGCUGGAUGAAGGCCAGGCUGACGACCUUGCCAGACUAGCUGAGAGGAGGUGCAUGGCCGUCGCCAGUUCGUGCCGUGAGGUGUCCUGUUAAGUCAGGCAACGAACGAGACCCCUGCCCCUAAUUGCCAGCGGGACCCGUCCGGGUCGCCGGGUACAUUAGGGGGACUGCCGCCGAGAAGGCGGAGGAAGGAGGGGGCCACGGCAGGUCAGUAUGCCCCGAAACGCCCGGGCCACACGCGGGCUACAAUGGCCGGGACAAUGGGUUCCAACCCCGAAAGGGGAAGGUAAUCCCAUAAACCCGGCCUCAGUUGGGAUCGAGGGCUGCAACUCGCCCUCGUGAACACGGAAUCCCUAGUAAUCGCGGGUCAACAUCCCGCGGUGAAUACGUCCCUGCUCCUUGUACACACCGCCCGUCGCUCCACCCGAAUCCGGUUUGGGUGAGGCUUCGUCCUCUGGGCGGGGUCGAACCUGGGCCGGGUGAGGGGGGAGAAGUCGUAACAAGGUAGCCGUAGGGGAACCUGCGGCUGGAUCACCUCCU
rnacentral:rRNA from 1 species